UACGAAGGGGGCUAGCGUUGCUCGAAAUCACUGGGCGUAAAGGGUGCGUAGGCGGGUCUUUAAGUCAGGGGUGAAAUCCUGGAGCUCAACUCCAGAACUGCCUUUGAUACUGAAGAUCUUGAGUUCGGGAGAGGUGAGUGGAACUGCGAGUGUAGAGGUGAAAUUCGUAGAUAUUCGCAAGAACACCAGUGGCGAAGGCGGCUCACUGGCCCGAUACUGACGCUGAGGCACGAAAGCAUGGGGAGCGAACAGG
rnacentral:rRNA from 1 species